rnacentral:rRNA from 1 species
AUUGAACGCUGGCGGCAGGCCUAACACAUGCAAGUCGAACGGUAGCACAGAGAGCUUGCUCUCGGGUGACGAGUGGCGGACGGGUGAGUAAUGUCUGGGAAACUGCCCGAUGGAGGGGGAUAACUACUGGAAACGGUAGCUAAUACCGCAUAACGUCGCAAGACCAAAGUGGGGGACCUUCGGGCCUCACACCAUCGGAUGUGCCCAGAUGGGAUUAGCUAGUAGGUGGGAUAAUGGUUCACCUAGGCGACGAUCCCUAGCUGGUCUGAGAGGAUGACCAGCCACACUGGAACUGAGAUACGGUCCAGGCUCCUACGGGAGGCAGCAGUGGGGAAUAUUGCACAAUGGGCGCAAGCCUGAUGCAGCCAUGCCGCGUGUAUGAAGAAGGCCUUCGGGUUGUAAAGUACUUUCAGCGGGGAGGAAGGCGGUGAAGUUAAUAGCUUCACCGAUUGACGUUACCCGCAGAAGAAGCACCGGCUAACUCCGUGCCAGCCGCCGCGGUAA